GAACAAGGGGAGAGAUGGGGUGAGGGGAAGAAUGUCUUCAACAUGUGAGAGGGAUCAGCGAAUAGAGCUGGAAACCUGGGCUGGGUUCCUGGACUUGUUGAAAACUCCCCAUGACCUUGGAUUUAAUUUAUUUAUUUAAUAGAAGACACAGUGAGAGAAGGAACACAAGCAAGUCAAGUGGGAAAGGGAGAAGCAGGCUUCCCGCUGAGCAGAAGCCCGAUGCGGAACUUGAUCCCAGAACCCUGGGAUCAUGACCUGAGCUGAAGGCAGACACUCACCGACUGAGCCACCCAGGUGCCCCUCUAUUUGUUCUUCUUA
rnacentral:lncRNA from 1 species